rnacentral:lncRNA from 1 species
CAUCUGCACUGCACAUAUUUAAAGACACGAAAGUUUAAAUUAUUAUGCAUAGUACUUUUUAGAAUAGAGAAAGAAACCAUAAGGAUGUUUCAAAAAGUGCUACUAUUGUGUAUCGUCCUAACUUGGAUAACACAUAAUGUCCACGGUUGUUCGUGUUUUGGUUUACAGCAUCCGCAAUCACAAUUCUGUUCAGCUGACUACGGUAAGUUUUAGAACUACUUUGUGAUGAAAGACGUUCAUCCACGAAAAUUGGUACUCACGAAAAUAAAUGAUUCAGAAAUAACGUUUAUUAAACCAAUAUAUUGUGUUAUUCUAUAUAUGAUAUGAGGAUCAUAUUAAGUAAACGUUUACAAUCUCAUUCGAUAUUACCCAAUAAAAGUUUCGGCAUAUUAACUUGAGACUAUCAAACAUAAGUCUCUAACUACGCUGUACUUCCAAUAGAACACAGAUGUGUCGAUUUUAGAUAUAUGUAAUGAUAAUUGACAGACUCGUAAAUUUUUAACAUUUCACUUGUUAUGAAUUCAACUCCCAGGGAUCAACAGAGUUAUUGUCUUGCCUUAUGUCACUUUUCUAUGAUUAAGUAAGCAUGGUAAGCGACGAUCAUUUAAUAUUCGGGGAGGGUUUUACCAGAUUGAUAAUUAACUUUCAUCUGUUGCUAAGACUUCCAAUUUGAUUUUAACUUUCUACAAAUUUUCUUCCUGUUUGUUUGAAUGCAUAAUUUGAUCAUUUUUCCUAUUUGCUAUGCUGGUUAUUAAAUUUCAUUGUAAACCAGGUCAAGUGGGCCAUUUUCAUAUUUCUCCUAGAAAAUCUAACUGUCGUUCCCUUAUAUUUCACGUACUGUCGUAAUAAAAUUGUUUGGUAUACAAUAUUGCAUAUUUUUCAGUAUUUCACGGCAGAGUAACAAAGGAAACAUUUAUACCAGGCCCACCAGAUGAUAUUGGAAACAAUUUUGCGGUCUGGAAAUAUACAUUUCGCAUUGUUUUCAAAAUGAAGGUACGAGUCAGUAGUUAAAUUAAUAAUGGAAAAAAUGUAAUUGCAUUUUCAGUGUAUGGAUUUGGGAUAAUGCUAUAAAUGUAACGACGCAUAUAGUUUAAAUAUUAUAACAUACAUUAUUGGAACCACUUCUCGCAUAUAUUUUAAAGAAAUUGUAUUCUGAACAACUUGAUAGAUAUGCAGUAGUAAACAAAAUGAUUUAGUAUAUUAUUAGUUACGUAGUGUGUUAUUAUAUACGGUAUAUAUAGGGUCAGUAAAUUCCAUGUUUGGUAAACGCAAAGCUCGAAUCCCAAUCUGGAAUUUACUGACCCAAUAUAUAUAAAGAUUCUACCAUUGCAUCGAGUGUGAUACGAUAUUUAUUUUAUUAUAUUUUAACAAAUUUCAUUUGUUUAGGGAUAAUCACGUGUUAAACUAUAUUUUCGAAGGUAGAGAGAAAACUGCGGAUAGCAAAAAGCAUAUUACACAGAGCAUAUUGCACGGUUAUUUUUAGAAUAUCUAACAACCGAUUUACUUUGUGACGUCAUGUAAUGAAUUUCAGGAAAUCGUUAAACGUUUUUAAGCAAAUGAUAUCUGUGAUCGAUUAUUAGACGAAAAAAAUCUUCAAAUACAUAAGAUUACAAACAAACAAAAAAAUUGAAUUUAAUAACAACUAAUAUGUUGUAAUUGUCAAGGAGACAAUAUGAUAUCUAUAAAAUUCAAACAUAAUCAAAUGACGAUUUUGAUACAAAUAUGCAUAAUGGUCUGAAAUUGAUAAUAUAAAAAAUAUAACAUUUGUCCUCAGACAAUAUACUUCUUUCAUGUCAAUAUAUCCUUGUAUCGACCUUAUAUAAAGGCCAUAUUUGUAUAAUAUUGAAUUUGAAUAUAAUAAUAUGUAAUAUACAAAUCAGGAUAAAUUCGUUACACAGUGUUCAAUUGUCCUAAUACGUAAUUUAUCGGGUCAAUUAAAUUCAUAUCGAUAUGCAUUUUAUUGACCCGAUAAAUUCUCGUAUUAGGACAACUGCACACUGUGUAACUAAUAUAGCAUACUGACUACCUUAAGAUCUGGUAUUUAGACUAUUGGCUUAUCAAAGUUAUCAAGCCGUAAAUACCUUUAGUAUUAACAACCUACUUGCAUUGGUCUAUACAAAAAACAAAUACCAACAAUAACAAGUUCUUAACUCUAAACGUGUUUAAAAAAGAUAGUUCAAUCCUUCAUCAUAAUUUUCGUUUUCUGUUGAAACUUUUUAGAUUAUUCCUGCACACUGUAUUGUUUGCCUGUAACACCACUACUUACCGUUUAUUGAAAUAAGCCAUGGCAUAUUAACCUAUUAUGAAACCCUACUAAUCUUAUAUGAAAUAUACGUGGUCCUACGCGAAUACUUUUAACCAAUCAUGUUCAUAGAAAAGUAAUGGUAAUGUCAUUAUUUCAUUUAUAUUUCAAGGGUGUGCAUAUUUUUCUCAAAAAUAUGAUUUCAGUCAGUCAAAUUUUCGUUUAAACCGAGAUAUAAACUUGAAGGAAAUGGUCAAAUGUAUUAAAAUUAUCCAUUUUAACGAAUUCGGUUACUGAAUUUCAUUUUAAUUCAAUAAUCGAGUUAGCUGUAUUUUCAUUUUUCAUACAUAUUGAAUGUUAAACUUUACAUUGUUUUUAUCAUAGUUUCUGAUUCACUGUUUUAUAAAGAUAAAAGAGUAUACCGAUGUUCAAGAGUCAUAAUUCGUUUAGGCAAAAUUAAAUCCGAGUAACAAACUAAUAACAAGAGAAACACAUUGACUGUAGGAGGAAAUCAACGAAACAACCGAAACACUGAACUACAACAGAAGCAACAGCCAAUAUAGAAGCGGCAUGUAGAUAACAGCUGCAAUAACCCUAAAUUUGGUUCAGGAUGUACGAAGACAACAUUGUGGUUUGAAAAUGGCGAUAUGACUAGCCAAACCCCGCUUAUAUUUCAAUGUUAAUACUGCUACAGUAGCAUUACUUCUGGACAGGAGUACAGUACAAACAAACUUAAACACACUCAGCACAAUUAUAAAUAAUAAUAAAGUUCUUUAUUAAAAAAUGUAAACCUCAGAAUAGCAAAGAGCACCCUCAUGAAUCUACGACAGAACACAUGGACAACACAAACGACAUAUUAACUGUGCGUCACAUAAAUUGAUUUGCAACAUGGAACAUAUUGUUAUCGAUGCAAAUUAUUUUCAUUGAUUACAAAUGCUUCUAUAAUGCUAUACAUAUAUAACACAGGGAGUGACAGAAGGUGUUGGUCAAGAAAUAGUUGUAGAGACUGCAGGAAAUAGUGGGCUCUGUGGAGUACGUUUUACGGUCGGAGAGUCAUAUAUUCUGAUGGG